rnacentral:misc_RNA from 1 species
GGAUGAAGCAAAUGCCAAACCAAUGCAAUUGCUAUUAUCACAUAUAAUAAUCAAGGCCUAUAGACAAUCCAAGUCCAAAAGACAUCCAUAUUUCCAAUGACAAUCAGAAUUGGAUUAUGAAACACCAGUUAGAUUUCAGAAUGAAAUUAUCUUACAGGCUCAAAAUUGGCACUACCAGAGACCAUAUGCAAUCUACAAUACCAAAUUGCAUGUUGCACCUCAGUUUAGUGUUUAUGCAUCAGUAGAGCAACUUUUCAAUUUCCGUAAAAGAGCUAAUACAUGACUAAUUAUUUGCUUGCAGAGAAGAUUGAAUCUUUGUUCCU